rnacentral:rRNA from 1 species
AUGAGUAGCAGCUAAUCAAGGUGAGAAACCUUGACGCCGUAAGAGCAAGGGUUCCUAUCCAAUGUUAAUCAGGGUAGGGUGAGUCGACCCCUAAGGCGAGGCCGAAAGGCGUAGUCGAUGGGAACACGGUUAAUAUUCCGUGACCUGCUGGUGAGUGACGAAUUGCGUAUAUUGUUUGACCUUAUUGGAUUGGCCAGGCAGUGAAGUAGUUCCAGGAAAUAGCCCCAGCAUAUAGAUCGUACCCAGAACCAACACAGGUGCUCGAGUCGAGUAGACUAAGGCGGUUGAGAGAACUAUGUUGAAGGAACUAGGCAAAAUACAUCCGUAACUUCGGAAUAAGGAUGACCUGUUUCAAGGCAACUUUAAUCAGGUGACACAAACCAGGUGGGGGCGACUGUUUACUUAAAACCCAGGUCUCUGCUAAAUCGUAUAAGAUGAUGUAUAGGGACUGACGCCUGCCCAGUGCUGGAAGGUUAAGCAGAGGUGUGCAAGCAUUGAUGUGAAGCCCCAGUAAACGGCGGCCGUAACUCUAACGGUCCUAAGGUAGCGAAAUUCCUUGUCGGGUAAGUUCCGACCCGCAUGAAUGGCGUAACGAUCUCCACACUGUCUCCAACAUAGACUCAGCGAAAUUGAAUUCUCGGUGAAAAUGCCGGGUACCCGCAGCUAGACGGAAAGACCCUAUGAAGCUUUACUGCAGUUUCGUACUGGCACUAGGACUCAUUUGCGUAGGAUAGGUGGGACGCUUUGAAGGGCGGAUUUUGGUUCGCCUGGAGCGGUUGGUGAAAUACCACCCUGAUGUGUUUUAGUGUCUAACCCGCGUUCUUGAAGCAGGGCGGGGGACAGUGCGUGAUGGGCAGUUUGACUGGGGUGGUCGCCUCCCAAAGUGUACCGGAGGCGCGCGAAGGUUUGCUCAGGCUGGUCGGAAAUCAGCCGGUGAGUGCAAUGGCAAAAGCAAGCCUGACUGCAAGGGGGACACCCCGAGCAGAGACGAAAGUCGGUCAUAGUGACCCGGUGGCUCCGCAUGGAAGGGCCAUCGCACACGGAUAAAAGCUACUCUAGGGAUAACAGGCUGAUGCUACCCAAGCGUCCAUAGCGACGGUAGUGUUUGGCACCUCGAUGUCGACUCAUCGCAUCCUGGGGCUGGAGCAGGUCCCAAGGGUAUGGCUGUUCGCCAUUUAAAGCGGUACGUGAGUUGGGUUAAUAACGUCGUGAGACAGUUAGGUCCCUAUCUACUGUGGGCGUUGGAUAUUUGAGCGAACUUGACCUUAGUACGAGAGGACCGGGUCGAACGAACCUCUGGUGUACCUGUUGUCGCGCCCGCGGCACCGCAGGGUAGCUAUGUCCGGAACAGAUAACCGCUGAAAGCAUCUAAGCGGGAAGCUGGUCGCAAGAUAAGAUAUCCCCAUGAGUUCAGUUCUAGACUAGGACAUUGAUAGGCUGUGUGUGUAAGCCCUGUGAGGGGUUUAGCUUAACAGUACUAAUCGAACCAUUGACUUUUUA